rnacentral:rRNA from 1 species
GAGACAGCAGCCGCCGCGGUAAUGCGGAGGGGGCUAGCGUUGUUCGGAAUUACUGGGCGUAAAGCGCACGUAGGCGGCUUGGUAAGUUAGAGGUGAAAGCCUGGAGCUCAACUCCAGAAUUGCCUUUAAGACUGCCGAGCUAGCAGGUGAGAGAGGUAAGUGGAAUUCCGAGUGUAGAGGUGAAAUUCGUAGAUAUUCGGGAGAACACCAGUGGCGAAGGCGGCUUACUGGCUCAUACUGGACGCUGAGGUGCGAAAGCGUGGGGAGCAAACAGGAUUAGAUACCCCCGUAGUCCCUGUCUCUUAUAC